rnacentral:rRNA from 1 species
UGGGGAAUUUUGGACAAUGGGCGAAAGCCUGAUCCAGCAAUGCCGCGUGUGUGAAGAAGGCCUUCGGGUUGUAAAGCACUUUUGUCCGGAAAGAAAUCCUUGGCUCUAAUACAGUCGGGGGAUGACGGUACCGGAAGAAUAAGCACCGGCUAACUACGUGCCAGCAGCCGCGGUAAUACGUAGGGUGCAAGCGUUAAUCGGAAUUACUGGGCGUAAAGCGUGCGCAGGCGGUUUGCUAAGACCGAUGUGAAAUCCCCGGGCUCAACCUGGGAACUGCAUUGGUGACUGGCAGGCUAGAGUAUGGCAGAGGGGGGUUAGAAUUCCACGUGUAGCAGUGAAAUGCGUAGAGAUGUGGAGGAAUACCGAUGGCGAAGGCAGCCCCCCUGGGCCAAUACUGACGCUCAUGCACGAAAGCGUGGGGGAGCAAAACAGGAUUAGAUACCCCUGGGUAGUCCACGCCCUAAACGAUGUCAACUAGUUGUUGGGGGAUUCAUUUCCUUAGUAACGUAGCUAACGCGUGAAGUUGACCGCCUGGGGAGUACGGUCGCAAGAUUAAAACUUAAAUGAAUUGACGGGGUCAUAGCUGUUUCCU